UAAGGAAUAUUGGUCAAUGGACGCAAGUCUGAACCAGCCAUGCCGCGUGGAGGAUGACUGCCCUCUGGGUUGUAAACUCCUUUUAUCUGGGAAGAAAUGCAGUUUUUCUAAACUGUUUGACGGUACAAGAGGAAUAAGCACCGGCUAACUCCGUGCCAGCAGCCGCGGUAAUACGGAGGGUGCAAGCGUUAUCCGGAUUCACUGGGUUUAAAGGGUGCGUAGGUGGAAUGGUAAGUCAGUGGUGAAAUCUCCAAGCUUAACUUGGAAACUGCCGUUGAUACUAUCAUUCUUGAAUAUCGUGGAGGUGAGCGGAAUAUGUCAUGUAGCGGUGAAAUGCUUAGAUAUGACAUAGAACACCGAUUGCGAAGGCAGCUCACUGCGCGAUUAUUGACACUGAGGCACGAAAGCGUGGGGAUCAAAC
rnacentral:rRNA from 1 species